rnacentral:tRNA from 2 species
UCCCGGUUAGCUCGGUUGGAAGAGCGCUCUACUGGAAAUGGAGAGGUCCCUGGUUUGAUUCCAGGACCAGGCG